UACGUAGGGUGCAAGCGUUGUCCGGAAUUAUUGGGCGUAAAGGGCUCGUAGGCGGUUUGUCGCGUCUGCUGUGAAAACCCGAGGCUCAACCUCGGGCCUGCAGUGGGUACGGGCAGACUAGAGUGGCGGUAGGGGAGAUUUGGAAUUCCUGGUGUAGCGGUGGAAUGCGCAGAUAGUCAGGAGGAACACCAAUGGCGAAGGCAGAUCUCUGGGCCGUAACUGACGCUGAGGAGCGAAAGCAUGGGGAGCGAACAGG
rnacentral:rRNA from 1 species